CCUACGGGAGGCUGCAGUGGGGAAUAUUGCACAAUGGGGGAAACCCUGAUGCAGCGACGCCGCGUGAGUGAAGAAGUAAUUCGUUAUGUAAAGCUCUAUCAGCAGGGAAGAAAAUGACGGUACCUGAGUAAGAAGCCACGGCUAACGACGUGCCAGCAGCCGCGGUAAUACGUAGGGUGAAAGCGUUAUCCGGAUUUACUGGGGGAAAAGGGAGGGUAGACGGCAGUGCAAGUCGGGAGUGAAAGGCGGGGGUGCAACCCCCGGACUGCUCUGGAAACUGGACGGCUGGAGUGCAGGAGAGGGAAGUGGAAUUCCUAGUGUAGCGGUGAAAUGCGUAGAUAUUAGGAGGAACACCAGUGGCGAAGGCGGCUUACUGGACUGUAACUGACGUUGAGGCUCGAAAGCGUGGGGAGCAAACAGGAUUAGAUACCCCUGUAGUC
rnacentral:rRNA from 1 species